rnacentral:rRNA from 1 species
CUUUGGACAAUGGUAGGAGAGCGUUCUAAGGGCGUUGAAGCAUGAUCGUAAGGACAUGUGGAGCGCUUAGAAGUGAGAAUGCCGGUGUGAGUAGCGAAAGACGGGUGAGAAUCCCGUCCACCGAUUGACUAAGGUUUCCAGAGGAAGGCUCGUCCGCUCUGGGUUAGUCGGGUCCUAAGCUGAGGCCGACAGGCGUAGGCGAUGGAUAACAGGUUGAUAUUCCUGUACCACCUAUAAUCGUUUUAAUCGAUGGGGGGACGCAGUAGGAUAGGCGAAGCGUGCGAUUGGAUUGCACGUCUAAGCAGUAAGGCUGAGUAUUAGGCAAAUCCGGUACUCGUUAAGGCUGAGCUGUGAUGGGGAGAAGACAUUGUGUCUUCGAGUCGUUGAUUUCACACUGCCGAGAAAAGCCUCUAGAUAGAAAAUAGGUGCCCGUACCGCAAACCGACACAGGUAGUCAAGAUGAGAAUUCUAAGGUGAGCGAGCGAACUCUCGUUAAGGAACUCGGCAAAAUGACCCCGUAACUUCGGGAGAAGGGGUGCUCUUUAGGGUUAACGCCCAGAAGAGCCGCAGUGAAUAGGCCCAAGCGACUGUUUAUCAAAAACACAGGUCUCUGCUAAACCGUAAGGUGAUGUAUAGGGGCUGACGCCUGCCCGGUGCUGGAAGGUUAAGAGGAGUGGUUAGCUUCUGCGAAGCUACGAAUCGAAGCCCCAGUAAACGGCGGCCGUAACUAUAACGGUCCUAAGGUAGCGAAAUUCCUUGUCGGGUAAGUUCCGACCCGCACGAAAGGCGUAACGAUUUGGGCACUGUCUCAACGAGAGACUCGGUGAAAUCAUAGUACCUGUGAAGAUGCAGGUUACCCGCGACAGGACGGAAAGACCCCGUGGAGCUUUACUGUAGCCUGAUAUUGAAAUUCGGCACAGCUUGUACAGGAUAGGUAGGAGCCUUUGAAACGUGAGCGCUAGCUUACGUGGAGGCGCUGGUGGGAUACUACCCUAGCUGUGUUGGCUUUCUAACCCGCACCACUUAUCGUGGUGGGAGACAGUGUCAGGCGGGCAGUUUGACUGGGGCGGUCGCCUCCUAAAAGGUAACGGAGGCGCUCAAAGGUUCCCUCAGAAUGGUUGGAAAUCAUUCAUAGAGUGUAAAGGCAUAAGGGAGCUUGACUGCGAGACCUACAAGUCGAGCAGGGUCGAAAGACGGACUUAGUGAUCCGGUGGUUCCGCAUGGAAGGGCCAUCGCUCAACGGAUAAAAGCUACCCCGGGGAUAACAGGCUUAUCUCCCCCAAGAGUUCACAUCGACGGGGAGGUUUGGCACCUCGAUGUCGGCUCAUCGCAUCCUGGGGCUGUAGUCGGUCCCAAGGGUUGGGCUGUUCGCCCAUUAAAGCGGUACGCGAGCUGGGUUCAGAACGUCGUGAGACAGUUCGGUCCCUAUCCGUCGUGGGCGUAGGAAAUUUGAGAGGAGCUGUCCUUAGUACGAGAGGACCGGGAUGGACAUACCUCUGGUGUACCAGUUGUCGUGCCAACGGCAUAGCUGGGUAGCUAUGUGUGGACGGGAUAAGUGCUGAAAGCAUCUAAGCAUGAAGCCCCCCUCAAGAUGAGAUUUCCCAACUUCGGUUAUAAGAUCCCUCAAAGAUGAUGAGGUUAAUAGGUUCGAG